UCAAGCAAUUAAGAGCGUACGGUGGAUGCCUUGGCGCCGGGAGUCGAUGAAGGACGUGGCAAACUGCGAUAAGCGUCGGGGAGGAGCAAGCAUCCUUAGAUCCGGCGAUUUCCGAAUGGGGUAACCCGGCAGGGGUAAUGCCCUGUCAUCCCGAGAGUGAAUACAUAGCUUUCGGGAAGAGAAGUGGGGGAACUGAAACAUCUCAGUACCCCGCAUAAAAGAAAUCAAUCGAGAUUCCCUGAGUAGUGGCGAGCGAAAGGGGAACAGCCUAAACCGUGAAGAUGUCAAGCUUGCGGGCGUUGCCUUCACGGGGUUGUAGGAUCGCGCAUGGUUCAUCCGCAAAUGGGCCUAAGAGUUACAAAUUGUUUCUUUAGUCUAAGCUGACUGGAAAGCAGCGCCACAGAGGGUGAAAGCCCCGUGGGCGAAAAGGAAGCAACUCGAAGCGCGACACCUGAGUACCAUAGGACACGUGCAAUCCUGUGGGAAUCUGGGAGGACCACCUUCCAAGGCUAAAUACUACCCGGCGACCGAUAGUGAACCAGUACCGNNGAGGGAAAGGUGAAAAGCACCCCUGUUAGGGGAGUGAAAUAGUACCUGAAGCCGUGCGCUUACAAACUGUUGGAGGGCUAUGUCAUGCGGGCUUGCUCGUGUGACAGCCUAACAGCGUGCCUUUUGUAGAAUGAACCGGCGAGUUACGAUAUGCGGCAAGGUUAAGGGGAUUAACCCGGAGCCGGAGCGAAAGCGAGUCUGAACAGGGCGUUCAGUCGCAUGUUGUAGACCCGAAACCAGGCGAUCUAUCCAUGGCCAGGGUGAAGCAUGGGUAAGACCAUGUGGAGGCCCGAACCAAUAUUCGUUGAAAAGGAUUUGGAUGAGCUGUGGAUAGCAGUGAAAAGCUAAUCGAGCUUGGAGAUAGCUGGUUCUCCUCGAAAUGCCUUUAAGGGCAGCCUCAGGUAAUAGUUGACGGAGGUAGAGCGCUGAAUGGACUAGGGGCCCUACAAGGUUACCAAACCCAAUCAAACUCCGAAUGCCGUCAACCGUAUCCUGGGAGUGAGACUGUGGGGGAUAAGCUCCAUAGUCGAGAGGGAAACAACCCAGACCGCCGUCUAAGGUCCCUAAAUCGAGCUAAGUGGAAAAGGAUGUUGAGUUACAAAGACAACCAGGAUGUUGGCUUAGAANNCGAAAAUGUAACGGGGCUAAGCUCGGUACCGAAGACGCGGAUUGUAUGUUCCCGAGGGAGCAUGCAGUGGUAGGGGAGCGUUCCAUAAGGAUUGAAGCUCGACCGUAAGGACGGGUGGACUUUAUGGAAGUGAGAAUGCCGNNNNNAGCCGAGGCCGAAAGGCGUAGGCGAUGGCGAGCAGGUUAAUAUUCCUGCACCACCUGCACAACGUUAUUACCAAUGGAGUGACGCGGGAGGGUAGGUCAGCACGCUGAUGGACGCGCGUGUUUAAGCCCGUAGGGCGAGGGUGUGUCAAAUGCAUGCCUUCAUUAAGCCUGAAAGGCGACGAGGACUCUUUUCUUCGGAAAAGGGGAACUGAUUGAUCCCAUGCCGCCGGGAAAAACUUCUAGGGAGAUGUGCGGGUGACCGUACCGCAAACCGACACAGGUAGACGGGGAGAGAAUCCCAAGGCGAGCGAGAGAACCCUUGCUAAGGAACUAGGCAAAAUAGCCCCGUAACUUCGGGAUAAGGGGCGCCUCAUUAGGGUGUUCGGAAGGGUCAAACCUUCCGGUUAGCUCGAAGAGGCCGCAGAGAAAUGGCUCAAGCGACUGUUUACCAAAAACACAGGUCUCUGCUAAAGCGUAAGCUGAUGUAUAGAGACUGACACCUGCCCGGUGCUGGAAGGUUAAGGAAGGGGGUUAGCGGCAACGCGAAGCUCUCGACCGAAGCCCCAGUGAACGGCGGCCGUAACUAUAACGGUCCUAAGGUAGCGAAAUUCNNGCACGAAUGGUGUAACGAUUUGAGCGCUGUCUCAGCAAGGGACUCGGCGAAAUUGCAAUACCCGUGAAGAUGCGGGUUUCCCGCAGAAGGACGGAAAGACCCCGUGGAGCUUUACUGUAGCCUGGCAUUGGUUUUUGGCCUAGUAUGUACAGGAUAGGUGGGAGGCGUUGAUAGGAGAUCGUCAGGUUUCCUGGAGCCAACCUUGGGAUACCACCCUUAUUAGGUUGAAACCCUAACUCCGACCCGUAAUCCGGGCGCAGGACAUUGUCAGGUGGGCAGUUUGACUGGGGCGGUCGCCUCCCAAAAGGGAACGGAGGCGCACAAAGGUUCCCUCAGGCUGAAUGGAAACCAGCCAUUGAGCGCAUUGGUAUAAGGGAG
rnacentral:rRNA from 1 species